rnacentral:rRNA from 1 species
CGUGUCGUGAGAUGUUGGGUUAAGUCCCGUAACGAGCGCAACCCUUGUCCUUAGUUACCAGCACGUUAUGGUGGGCACUCUAAGGAGACUGCCGGUGACAAACCGGAGGAAGGUGGGGAUGACGUCAAGUCAUCAUGGCCCUUACGGCCUGGGCUACACACGUGCUACAAUGGUCGGUACAGAGGGUUGCCAAGCCGCGAGGUGGAGCUAAUCUCACAAAACCGAUCGUAGUCCGGAUCGCAGUCUGCAACUCGACUGCGUGAAGUCGGAAUCGCUAGUAAUCGCGAAUCAGAAUGUCGCGGUGAAUACGUUCCCGGGCCUUGUACACACCGCCCGUCACACCAUGGGAGUGGGUUGCACCAGAAGUAGCUAGUCUAACCUUCGGGAGGACGGUUACCACGGUGUGAUUCAUGACUGGGU